CGACACUGCCGAUCACAGACUGAGCGAGUUGUAGUCGGCUCACCGCUAUUCUACUGACUGGACUGACAGUUCAGAGGACUGGAUUUACUAAGAAGGAAACGUCACGUUGCGCACGCGUAAAAUGACGCAAUGCUACGGCCAACGGAACGGUCUUUGCCAUCGAUCCAGCGCGAAGAGACUUUCUUCUCUUGUAUCUUUUGGAGAUCCACCAAUUGUGAGAUAUUGAAAGAAUGUCGAAGAGUGGGACAGAUAUUUCUGGAGCGACAUUCAAGAGCAGUAAUUCUCGUGUUUUAUAAUGCUGAAACUUUUUGACGACCAUCGGAAACAUAUCUCUUUCAACAUCAUCGACAGUCGAGAACAUCUAAAUUAGUAUAUUUUCGAUAUGUGUACAAAAGCACUAUUUAUAACAUAACAUCAACAUUUGUAUAUUAACUUUUCUGCAUGAGAAAAUAAUAUUUAAAAGUAAAUUUAAUGACAAAAAAAGAUUAAUUAAUUUAUAAAAUUUAAAGAUUUGGAAGAAUUCCAAUUUUUUCAGGACUAAAGAAAUAUUAAAAUACAUCAUGAGUAUUAUCAUCGAAAUAUAAUAUAACAAGCAUUUUGUGAGAAUCUAUAAAUAACAUGUAACUGAUACCCAACAUGAUUGAUAACGCGAUUGAUAAGAUACGUGACAAUAUUCGACGUGAAUAAUGUGAGUCUACAGGUCUACAGGAGAUAAAUUAGAUUAUCGAUAUAUGAUAUAUCGAUUUUGUCAAAAUAGUAGUCAAAAUGAUAAUUGCCAUCGGCACAGCUAGUGAAGAUGAGUCAGAUUGCGCGCAACUAGUCGCGCUCUGAUGCAACUUCUUCACGUGCUUGCAACGCGUGUAACAUUAACGGUGCUACGUGACAAAGAUCACCGAUUCUCUCUUUCAAGUUUGUGUGAUGCACAUUUCGAGCCUUUUUUUCUUACAACUUAUUGUGUGUCCCCCUUUCUCUCCGUUCACCGAUACCUGUUCCUCACCUGAAAACAGCUGCAGCUGACGUGAGCAGAUGCACGUAUCUGUUCUUCAUCCAGUUUUACUUUUACUUUUACCAAUCUUGCUUUUAUGCAAAGUGCAAUAUCGAAUCAUGUGAUGUGUAUUUGUGUUUUAAGCUUAAAAUGUAUUUUAAUAAAUAGACUGUGUUUUGACC